UACGUAGGGGGCGAGCGUUGUCCGGAAUUACUGGGCGUAAAGGGUGCGUAGGUGGCUGACUAAGUUGGAUGUGAAAUCCCCGGGCUUAACUUGGGGUCUGCAUCCAAAACUGGCCGGCUAGAGUGCAGGAGAGGAAAGCGGAAUUCCUAGUGUAGCGGUGAAAUGCGUAGAUAUUAGGAGGAACACCAGUGGCGAAGGCGGCUUUCUGGACUGUAACUGACACUGAGGCACGAAAGCGUGGGGAGCAAAC
rnacentral:rRNA from 1 species